ensembl:lncRNA
AAUAUUAUUUAUUUAUUAGAGAUACAGAGAGAGAGAGACAGAGAGAGAGAGAGAGAAGCAGGCUCCAUGCUGGGAGCCUGACGUGGAACUUGAUCCCAGGUCUCCAGGAUCACACCCUGUGCUGAAGACAGCGCUAAACUGCUAAGCCACCGGGGCUGCCAGAGAAUUGAAAUUUCACUUCAAAUUUUCCUAGUUUGGAUUCUACACUUUUAAUAAUGUCUAAGAUGGAUUCUUCUGUUUUUGAUUAAAGGAAAAAAGGAGAUCUGGGUAUAAAUGAUACAUAUGUAAGGGGCAAAAGGAUGAGUGACAUCACACUGGUGCUGACGCAGUGGCAGUGAGCCAGUCCCUACCCCAGGAGAUGCUGACAAGCCAUUGUUGUCACAGAGGGUCUUGCAGUGGGAAGGAGAAGCCAGAGACAUUCUGUAAUCAAAGACUCUCUUAUUCAGAGCAGUGGGACUUGGAAUGUCUGUGCUGGAACUCUGAAAGCAGGGAAAGAGAAUUUUGGAAUUAGCAACAUGGCUAUGAUGUUGGUUCUGGAAGAAAUUCGGUAACUGGCUUUGGAAUGAGCACUUCUGAGGAAAGCAGUUGCUUGCAUCUGAACUUGAAAGUGAGGAAGUCUCCAUGAGGACUGCAGUCACUGCUGCCUGCUGUUUGGAAUGGCAAAGAGAUGAAGACUCCAGUGGCAAGGCCUGCUUUUCUUUCAGCUGCCCCUGGGCGAGGUGGUUCCUCAGAGCUGGGCCUCCACACAAGGGCCAGGUUCUGGCAGGCUCACUCUGAAGCACUAGGAGUUCAAGCAUGAAAAAAUCAUUGAAAGAGCAAUAUUUCAAGCAAAAGAGACAGAGCUAGAGCUUGGAUUUAAGGAUAAACAGGAAAUAAACAUGAGUGGAGAGGGAGCA